GCCGAGCGGUAGAGAUUCUUCGGAAUCUUGAGAGCGGCGUACGGGUGCGGAACACGUGUGCAACCUGCCUUUAUCUGGGGGAUAGCCUUUCGAAAGGAAGAUUAAUACCCCAUAAUAUAUUGACUGGCAUCAGUUGAUAUUGAAAACUCCGGUGGAUAGAGAUGGGCACGCGCAAGAUUAGAUAGUUGGUGAGGUAACGGCUCACCAAGUCUACGAUCUUUAGGGGGCCUGAGAGGGUGAUCCCCCACACUGGUACUGAGACACGGACCAGACUCCUACGGGAGGCAGCAGUGAGGAAUAUUGGACAAUGGGUGAGAGCCUGAUCCAGCCAUCCCGCGUGAAGGACGACGGCCCUAUGGGUUGUAAACUUCUUUUGUAUAGGGAUAAACCUACUCUCGUGAGAGUAGCUGAAGGUACUAUACGAAUAAGCACCGGCUAACUCCGUGCCAGCAGCCGCGGUAAUACGGAGGGUGCAAGCGUUAUCCGGAUUUAUUGGGUUUAAAGGGUCCGUAGGCGGAUCUGUAAGUCAGUGGUGAAAUCUCACAGCUUAACUGUGAAACUGCCAUUGAUACUGCAGGUCUUGAGUGUUGUUGAAGUAGCUGGAAUAAGUAGUGUAGCGGUGAAAUGCAUAGAUAUUACUUAGAACACCAAUUGCGAAGGCAGGUUACUAA
rnacentral:rRNA from 1 species